rnacentral:rRNA from 1 species
UACAGAGGGGGCAAGCGUUGUUCGGAAUUACUGGGCGUAAAGGGCGCGUAGGUGGCCUUCUAAGUUGAACGUGAAAUCCCUGGGCUCAACCCAGGAACUGCGUCCAAGACUGGGAGGCUUGAAUCCGGGAGAGGGAUGCGGAAUUCCAGGUGUAGCGGUGAAAUGCGUAGAUAUCUGGAGGAACACCGGUGGCGAAGGCGGCUACCUGGACCGGUUCUGACGCUGAGGCGCGAAAGCGUGGGGAGCAAACAGG